rnacentral:rRNA from 1 species
UGGGGAAUAUUGCACAAUGGGGGAAACCCUGAUGCAGCAACGCCGCGUGGAGGAUGAAGCAUUUCGGUGUGUAAACUCCUUUUAUUUGGGAAGAUAAUGACGGUACCAAAUGAAUAAGCACCGGCUAACUCCGUGCCAGCAGCCGCGGUAAUACGGAGGGUGCAAGCGUUACUCGGAAUUACUGGGCGUAAAGGGUGCGUAGGCGGGUUAUCAAGUCUUGAGUGAAAUCCAAUAGCUUAACUAUUGAACUGCUUGAGAAACUGGUAGCCUAGAGUAGGGGAGAGGUAGAUGGAAUUGGUGGUGUAGGGGUAAAAUCCAUAGAUAUCACCAGGAAUACUCAUGGCGAAGGCGAUCUACUGGAACUUAACUGACGCUGAGGCACGAAAGCGUGGGGAGCAAACA